UAACGGCUGAGCCACCCAGGUGCCCCACUCGGAUGGCCAGGCUAAUGAAAGCCCUUGUUUCCAAAGCCCUGCCGUGCCCCGCCGUCAGCAUUCUGAGUCCGUCCUGUCCCCCGGGACCCUGGAUGAGCACUCCCACUGGGAUCAAAAUGAAGCAGUCUUUUCUUCUGUCAAUGAGGGAAAAGAGGGGUCUCCUGCUCCAUCAGAAAGUCUUGCCUUGGACCUCAGAGGGCCACAGUGCAAUCUGCAGCCAUCAUCUUUCUUCUUGGGAUACAAGGAACCGAAGCGACCGCGGAAGAUCGCUUGUCCGAGUCUGUCUGUCCUCCAAAAGCAAACAAG